AGCCCAUCAAGGUGUGUGCGUGUGCGUCACCCAAUGAGGAAGUAUGUGCAUUGACACGCCCAGUUAAAGAAGUAGUUCGGCGCGUCAAGUGCAGCGUCUCGACCGAGGAGAAACAUAUGAAUUAAAAAAAAAGAUGAAGUAUUCGGUUGUUUUAUUCGGCCUCAGUGUGGUGGUGUUGGUCGUUGUGAUUUUCCAGGGUUUGCGCCAAGAGAUGGAAUAUCGCGAUGUUCAAUUCCGCACGCUCACGGACUGGGCAUUGUCCAAAGCUGAGGAGAAAUCCAUCGAUUUACUAAAACCCCAAGUCAAGCAGCUGCAGGACAACUUGGAUUCCAUCAAGGGCAGGAUAGAGGAGCUGAAGAAACGCAAAGUAGCAGCUCAGAAAACAGAGAAGGAACAUACAAAGACCUUACAGACUUGCAAUGAAGAUAAGGAAAGCAAGGUGAAGAAUAAGAAGGCUGCCACAGACUCCAUUGCUACACUCAAAGCUGAUCACGCAGUGGAAAAAGCAAAAGCAGAGGAGGAAGUGCAAGGCUUGAAACAACAUAUUUUGGAUCGGGACAAAGCUAUUUGCAUUUUUGCUGAUCCCAGCAUUGCAGAAGCACGGACACUCUGUGGCAUCAAUGCUCCUCAAUAAAGACAACUCAGAAAAAGAACUACGCUUACUCUGAACUUGCACAAGAGCCACAAACUCAGGGCUUCGGACAAUCCACUACACAAAUUGGCGUCACGAACAGGAUGGUUUAGAAGCUACAGGUCGACAGCCGCUCCCGCUCUCUCAGUCAGGCAGACAGUGUGCUGCACGCGCGCAUAACAAGAAGGAACUUCCUGAUGUUGCCUGACAGCACGACAUCAGCUGACAACUACUGGGGACGCCUCCCAGGAACGAGUGGAAGAUGGGGACUGCUCCAACAGUCCUAGCACUGGCUGACUGAGGUGCGUCCGUGUGUCCUGCCACCCAAACCGCCAAAGUGUAUGAUCACCAAUUAGACGACUCAUAAUAGGAGCCUUUUGACUCUUAUAUAUGGUGGGACUCGAGGUAUGGCCGCUCAUGUGAACUAUCCUUACAACAAUUAGAAUGGUAUAAGAUGGACAACUAAUGACCCACAUUGUUCCCUCUGUCCUGCCUACGAAACCAAAAAUUUAGGUCAAAUGAUAAAACAGGGCGUAGCUGCCGCUGAUUGAACCGAUACGCAAAUACCACAUUUUCAAUUAUUUCGGUUGUCUGUUAAAAACAAAGCUAUUGGUUGCAAUUUGGACACUCCUGCUGUAGGCUACAAGGAGCUAGCAGCUACACAACAGCUGAGCUCAAAUAAAAUUUAAGCAUAUCAAAAAAAAAAAAAUUGUAGUUGCUUAUUACAUACACAAAGUCGCAGAGAGACAGAAGUCUGUAGAAAGUAUUCAGUAACAAACGUGUCCGCAUUAUUAAACUUUCUACCACAGGAAACAUACUGAACAAAUACAGCAGUUACUGUCAGACUCUAAUCCGGAUUACCUUGUCUAUCAGAGACAUGGUUAAAACCCACAACACCUUUCGUUCUAAUUAAUGUCCCGGGGGAUAAGAUUACAGAAAAGACAGAUCGAGUGACAAAGGGGGGAGGAAUUAUGAUUUAUGAAAGGAAAAACAUUAAAAGUAGAUCAAUUUGAGUAUGUUGAAAUUAAAAUCACAUUUUCCUCAGAAAUGUAUUUCAAGGUAAUUGUAGUAUACCGACCGACCACAGCUAAAGACAUUUUUCUUGAUUCAUUUUCAGACAUCCUCAAACAGCAUAGUAUGAAAGAAGUAACGUCAUGGGGGGCGUUAAUCUGGACUGGUUAAAUAAAACACGUAGAAAGAAACUUAAGGAUAUUAUAAACGGCUUCUACAUGAUACAAAGGAUAAGCAGCCCUACUAGAAUUACAAUUGGAUGACAAAAAUCAAAGAGAACAUCUGUAAAUACACGAAUACAAAACCAGAAAGAAGAGUGCUAAAAUAAAAAUACCAUUGGAUUAAUAAAACAAUUUGGAUUCUAAUAAAGACAUGAGGACUCAGCUCUCAUAAGAGCAAUUAUAACAGGUCUAAAUACAGAUCGUAUGAUUUUAAAAGUUUUGAAGAACAAAUUUACAAUGUUUAUGCGGAAGUCUAAGGCUGACUUUCACUUAGAAUUAAUCAAAGCUGCAAAAGGGAACAUUAGAGAGUUAUGGAAAACCAGAAAAAAACUUACGGAAAGAGAGCAAACAAGAAACAACACUAUAACAUUAAAUAUCAAUGGCGCUACUAUCGCAGACAGUCUGGACAUAAGUAAUAAUUUUAAUGAACAUUUCAUCCAGUCUGUACAAACCCUGAAUAAAAAGUCCCUCAAAAUCAGUGCAAAUAAUUGUCAUUUAUUCAGGAUGGACUAAUUUUAGAAUUAACAAAUGAAACAAAGUUAAACAAAAUGUUCGCUGCAUUAUCAGACUCACGAUCUAGAGAUAUAUAUAUGGGUUGGACACUAUCUUCCUAAAAACAUAUAAGGAUUGUAUUAUUGCUCGUAUAACAACGAUUGAUAAAUAAAUCAAUAACGGAAAACACUUUCCCUACCACGUCGAGAAACUGCUACUAUGAUUAAAUUCAUAAAGCAGGAAAUAAAGAAGACCAGAACAUGUACAGACCAAUUAGCCUUCUCCACGUUAUAACAAAAGGAAUAGAAAAUUUGAAGUUAAAAAGUGGCUUUGGAGCAAUCAAGGCUGCUCAGACGGUCGCUAAGAGGGGCAUUAUGUUGACAAAUCAAUUUAAUGAGUAUUAUAUUUAUCCAUGAGAGCAUUUUUGUUGUAGAUUGUAAGGUAUGGCUGUUAAAAUCUUGGUUGUUUUUACGAAUGAUGACAGAUGUGAACAAGAGCAUGUAUUGUCUUUGUGUGAUGAUGUAAAUAAGGUGUGGUUGUAUUGUAUGUUAAGUAUGUGUCCAUGAAGGGGCAUUUUAGGACUUCUCUUAAUCUGAUUACAUGCUACAGUAUGAUUAUUUUUUUUAUUAAUUAUUAAUUACUAUGAAUGUACAUAUUUAUUAUGAUUAAUUAGUGUCAUAAUUUUAUUGCUUGAUUUUUGGAUCCCUUUAAUUUAGGUAGCCAGGGACUGCAGAUGGAAAGUAGCUAUUUAGAUAUAAUCUGGUACAGAACAUAUCUGUUUCUGAACUUAAUGUUUCUGUGCAUUGUCCCAUCAUAGAUAGACUAAAUUAAAUACAACUAUUUAGUGAAUUAUUGUGGCCACAAUAAUUCACUAGGUGUUGUAAAAUAUCAAAGUACUAUUGCAAAAGCGAACAGUGACCUCAAACAUGACCUGUCCUCCGCCUCUGUUCUUGCUACACUUGACUAUCAGCUGCCUUUUCUUUUUCUUGGAUGUUUCUGAAACUACUAAUACUACUACUACUAUUACUAUUACUACGACUAACACUGUCCCUGUGAGAGGGACAGAGGGGGAGGUGAGUUUGGAUUGGGUCAAGUUUGAGCGUGUUGAGGUUUUAUUUAAUCGAUAUGAUCAAUCCGGUACAAGGAUAAAGGAACGUAAUGAUUUAGAUUGACAAUUGCAGUGGUUGGCGGAAGCAACCCCACCCUCAAAGGAGGGUGCCAAUUCAGUAAUUAAAUGUUUUGUGAAUUAUCUAAUAUCCCAACAUGGCUUCCCCAAAAAGACAACGGCACCUAAUUUAAGAAAACAGGUUAAUCUUCUUCAGUCACAAGAUCAGCACUUCUCAGGACCAGCAGCUUCCUAGGAAGGUGGAAAGACCAUGAGACCAAAAUGGUAAGUUUGCAAAAUGUAGAAUUUGUGUGCCAGUUCCUCUGUGCAGAUUUGAGGAUGAAAGCAGCCACUCCAGAUUCCCUUGCACUCGCUAAGAGGGGCACGGUCAAAGCCAAUCCAGGACCAACACCCGAUACCUGACUGGAAGGAACCGAGAGGAGAGACAACACCUUGCCAGUGAUGACGAGAACAACUAAGGUUGCCAGCCAAUGUGUCCACCAGGACUCCAGCAGCUGUGGAAAGAAGUGUCGUGAGUGCCGAAGCGGCGAGGAGGCCUAGAAGCAAGCCGAGGGCCUGGACCAAAGCCCCACGCCCCAUACUCUGCCCCCGCCCCCACAGCUCCAACUUUUUCUCAACUUUUCCCCAAAGCGGCCAGCGCGCACAUGCCAUUGCACAGUCUGCCCAAUGGACUGAACCACACCCCAAGAAGAGACAGAGACAGACUGUUUGAGUGGAUCUCUUUCUUCACCAAGGCAGCCAAAAGCCCAACGAGGUGUCGGCAGGCCACCAGCCUGAGGCACCACCGAGCCAUCUAUACGAGCACUAAUCGAACAUGGACUCAUACGAAAUUCAGUUGUGUGUUCAAAAUCAAUUGAUAAUUAACAAUAUUGGUAACUACAUUCAUUGCAAAUGCCGGGAAAAAUAUUUUUGCAAAUGUUUUACAGUCAUAAGUCUAUAUACAUUCAUCUAUGUAUGUUCAAUGAUGUUCAUGAUCAAAGUAUUUGUUAUUCCUUUACUAAAUCAAAGGGUAGGCCACUAAUUGUGUUCUGUGAGAUGGUUUUACUGCAGGCUGGUAACAGCGAUCGCUCUGAAGGAGGGUCAUAGACGGAAUUUUUGCCUCGUAUAAAAACAUUGAGGUUUUUGCCUCUAUCUGUGGUAGAGAUUAGUGGUCUACAUCAGAAAUUGUUUUGGUCCAGGGUCUUAAGACCCUGGAAGGCGGGUAUGUAGUAGAAUUUCUGACCUUUGACCUAUAUUUCUUGUCUUUUAAGAAUGUCCGCUCAUUUUCAAUUCUCUUCUAUUUUGUGCCAUUGAAUGGACCAGUUGUGGGACAAAGGUGAAUAUGGAGUUAUGCCAACCUGUCUACAGAAUGUUUAGAUUUUCCAAAUAUGACUAGGAGAUACAAGGUUGUUUUGGAACAGACAAAACCAAAACAAAACAAUCGUGGCGCAUUAGAUAACAAACAAUGACGCACAAGAGACAUAUAAAAAAUGGCAGAAGACCGGAACUCGACAGUGAUUUUGGCUUGUGUGUGUCUUGUUUACUCCGGAGUAACAUGUGGUCUGUCUGCACGGCUAACUUAAUUCAACCUGCACUUCUGAUAAUGGGUAAAUAAAUUUGUUGUACUAAACUACUUUUGUUGCCUGUUUAAGCUUCGGACAAUCCACUACACACAUCUUAAGCAUGAAUGCAUUAACAUAUUCCUAGGCACCGCAUUGACUGUCUACUCGUAUUUCAGCAGCAGAAACAACGACGAAAACAAGAAGCCAAAUCAUUGUUCUACAUACUCUUGCUCCAAUCUGUGGACCGUGGAAAAUGGUCACUUUUCCCAA